UAGGGAAUCUUCCGCAAUGGACGCAAGUCUGACGGAGCAACGCCGCGUGAGUGAAGAAGGUUUUCAGAUCGUAAAACUCUGUUGUUAGAGAAGAACAAGUGCUAGAGUAACUGUUAGCGCCUUGACGGUAUCUAACCAGAAAGCCACGGCUAACUACGUGCCAGCAGCCGCGGUAAUACGUAGGUGGCAAGCGUUGUCCGGAUUUAUUGGGCGUAAAGCGAGCGCAGACGGUUCCUUAAGUCUGAUGUGAAAGCCCCCGGCUCAACCGGGGAGGGUCAUUGGAAACUGGGGAACUUGAGCGCAGAAGAGGAGAGUGGAAUUCCAUGUGUAGCGGUGAAAUGCGUAGAUAUAUGGAGGAACACCAGUGGCGAAGGCGACUCUCUGGUCUGUAACUGACGCUGAGGCUCGAAAGCGUGGGUAGCAAACAGGAUUAGAUACCCUGGUAGUCCACGCCGUAAACGAUGAGUGCUAAGUGUUGGAGGGUUUCCGCCCUUCAGUGCUGCAGUUAACGCAUUAAGCACUCCGCCUGGGGAGUACGACCGCAAGGUU
rnacentral:rRNA from 1 species